GCAACACCUCUUGAGCACACCAGCAGACUCAUCUGAAGCUCCUUCACAAUAUCUCCACUAACCAAACCAACCAAAUCAUAUCAAUAGUUCUGUUGAUAGCAGUUACCCAUUCAUCAGCUAGAUCAUAAAGAAGCAGAUCAGGAAGUAAGGAGGAGAAGGCAUGCCACCAGAAGCAAAGUAUCACAGAAGCUAGAAGAACCAACCAGCUAUCAAGCUAUAGAGCAACAGAUAUGGAGGCAUCGAAGGAGGAUCUACAGUGCAACUCGAAGGCCGAGGAAUCAACAACUACUUUAAGAGACAAGGAACCUGUCAGAGGAGUCAGAUACCACAUACAACAAGGAGAAAACCUAGCUUAGCAAUAGAAGGGAACUAGCUUCCUAAACCUAGCUCCUAAUUAGCUAGAAUCUAUUCAUAGCCCCUAUAGCUAGUCAAAUACUCUACAAAUAGAGUUCGUGAUAGGAUUAGACUACGAGUCGUUCUUCUGGAGUUUAUUUGCAGUUUUACCUCAUUGUAAAGUAGGAGGCUGUGAUGAUCUUAUGUAACAGAGUCAAUAUUGUAAUUCUAUAGACAUGCCUUGGACCCGCAUAUGUUUCUGUUGUACCA